CUGGUGUCAGCCGCCGCGGUAAUACCAGCACCUCGAGUGGUCAGGACGUUUAUUGGGCCUAAAGCAUCCGUAGCCGGCUCUGCAAGUCUUCGGUUAAAUCCACCUGCUCAACAGAUGGGCCGCUGGAGAUACUACAGAGCUAGGGAGUGGGAGAGGCAGACGGUAUUCAGUGGGUAGGGGUAAAAUCCUCUGAUCCAUUGAGGACCACCAGUGGCGAAGGCGGUCUGCCAGAACACGUUCGACGGUGAGGGAUGAAAGCUGGGGGAGCAAACCGGAUUAGAUACCCGGGUAGUCCCAGCUGUAAACGAUGCAAACUCGGUGAUGCAUUGGCUUAUGGCCAAUGCAGUGCCGCAGGGAAGCCGUUAAGUUUGCCGCCUGGGAAGUACGGACGCAAGUCUGAAACUUAAAG
rnacentral:rRNA from 2 species